GACUGGAGAUCCAGUAGUGGAAAUGCAAGAAAGAGCCUCCAGUGGAAUGAGAACUUGAGAAGAUGCAGUGAGGAAAAGAGACAGGGAAAGGAAUGGAGGUCCAGCAGAAGAUAGGCAAGAAAGUUUCCAGUGGAAGGAGAUGCCUAAAAGGAGAGUCUUGUGUUUGGGCAACAAAAUCUGCUGAAGAGCCAUGGACUGAUUGAAGAAUGAAUAUCCAAGAAGCCAACGAAGAGGAAGUGGAAACUGUUUCUUUUGAACAAGUUGAAGGCUAGAAAAGUCUCCAUGGCUCAACAGACGAGUGUGCCCUGGUUAGCAGGAAGUGAGAUGCUGCUUGAGCUUCUUUCACAGUAGGUGGAAAUGGCAGACAAAAUAGCCAAAAUCCAUAAAGUUGGAGGCAACAGUGGGGCUGGAGAGGACAAGGCUGGACUGCUUUAAGCUCUUUUGUUGCAGGUUCUUUGGUUCUUGAAGAAAUCUGGGCAGUCCACAGUAAUUUCAAGACUACAAACGUGCAUAGUCAAGGUUCCAAAGACUUGAGCAGUGAAUUGAUGGGUUUUUCAGACACUGGGAAAAACUCGCAGUGGAAUUGCAAAAGAGAACAUAGAAUAGGAGACCAGAUUGGAAUUUUCUGCAAAACUCGGUAGCAUAAAUUGGCACCAAGUUGGGGGAAGGUAAACAUAAACUUUUGGACUGAAUAUGGAGACAACUAUUAUGAAUUGUCUUCAGCUUACAAGGGUUGAGGAGAGUGCCAAUGCACAGCAGAUGGGAGUGAAUUGUCUGCUGAUGACAAAGAUACCGACAUACAUGACUACCAGGAAAACUGCCAAGAGAAAGAGGAAGGAAAGCAUAGAAUUUACUCCAAAGACAGCAGGUUAUAAGCCUAGAAAAGUCUCCAUAGCUCAACAGAAUGGUGACUCGGGGGAGCAGAAUGUGAGAAACUUCUUGUGCUUCUUUCACCAUGGCUAGAGAGGACUGAAAGCUGGAUUGCUUCAAGCUGUUUUGUUUCAGCUGCAGUGAGGAACAAUGCCUGAUGUUGGGGAAAGGGAUUGAGACAACAUGGAGGUGCAAGAAACUUCAGAGGAAGGUGCUUGGUUAAAGAUGUUCUGAUGGCCUGAAAGGACCAUGUGAAUAUGAAGUUGCUGCUUGUAAUAUAUAAUUGUUUUACCUGGAGGUAUGCAAGUGUCUAGUCUGUCUUCAAGGCCUAGCAGUGAAUGAAGACCAGAACCCAUGUCUCCUUGUUUUCCACAGAUCAAGAGAAGGCAACUGUUUAUAAACGACGGAGGAACUGGAAUGAGACGGUGCAAGUGCGGUGGAAGUCAAUUUUACUGGAAGGUAGGUUUGGGUGUACAAGGAUGGCUCUUCCUCUUCAGUUGAAGACCAGAUGGAUUUGUUGAAAGGGCGUGCCUCCUAUUUUCACAGGUAAGUACCACACUGGAUUUGUCAGUUUGGUUGGAAUUGAAAUUAAGUGAUUUAGUUGCAUUACAAAAGUCAUUUUUGGUAUAAAAAAAAAAAAAAAAAAAAAAAAAAAAACUUGUUAUACACUUACAACUUAAUGUUGUGACCUGUAAAGAUAUAAUUCAGAUUCCUAAAAAAACAUAUCUAAUUGCUUAAGAUCCCUCAUUACCUUGACUUUAUGUUUUGCACAGUUAUGCCCAUCAUAUAUCUUUUUUACAUAACAUUUCCAUAGCAUUGAGUUGUAUGUAUUAGUAGGAUAAAUGGGGAGGAGGUUCAAAAUAGGCCAAAACCCCUUGAAUGUCUAGUUUGAUAUUUUGUUAGUGUGUAAAGCAGAGGGAGUUUUGUUACUGCGUUUGAUAUAUUUGUUAAGGGAAGAUGUUUUCCAUUGGAAUUUUUGUUAAAGUGACUAUUUGAGAAAAUGAAAAAGGUUAAAUGAAUUAACUGAACAAGGAAAACAGGGCAACAGUGAUUAUAAUAUAAAAUGAAAUGAAUAUGAAGAAAUUUUUUUUUUUAAUGAACUUGGACCAACUUCUAUCCAAUGUGCUAGUGGCUGACAAAAAAAACAACAAAAAAACACGGCAUCAGCAUCAGUGUACAUAAAAUGAGAUGGAUAUUGUUUGUUUUAUAUUUUUAAAACUUUAACCUGAACAUGAGAAAAAUAAAAAACAAAACCAUGUGGUACAGUUCAAUGUUUUCAUGUGGCUGUGUUGGCUGGUUAAUGUUUGAGUUUGCUUCUCAAUCGUUCAUCUUCUCGAUCUGAUAGUUGUUCCCAGGUGUUUGGUGCCUCGUCAACAUAUGCAUGUUUAGUGGUUCUAUGCUGUAUGUUCUAUCUAGUGUUUAUGUGGAAAUUCUGUUUCUGAAUGUUGCACCAUGUACCCAGAGUAUAUAGAACUACUGAUGUAGAUCUGAUAUUUCAUUGAUUUUGUUCUUUGAAGGUUUUAUUGAUGGAAAUCUAAGAUAAUAUGUAGCAGCCUAGGGUCUUUGAGCGAAGGCGUUUUUGACAUUUCCAUGAAUUUAUUCUCAAUUCUCAUUUCUUCUUCAGUGCUUGGCUUCAUUUGCUCAUUAGGAUCAUUUUCUUGUUUUCUUAACAUUAAUCUGAUUCUGAAAAUAAAUGUAGUGAUAAGGUUUUUUGGUGAUAUAAAUGCCAUUUGAUACUAUUUCUCUCCCUCUCCCUCUCCCUUUGUUGCAAAAUAUUUUAUUGCAGCGAAGAUGUCUUUCAUUGAAAAAUGAUAUCAGUGUAACUCUUAGUUAUAUUAUUCUUAAUUCUGAAAUGUUGUUCUGGGUCUGCUAUUUAUCUAUUCAAGGGACACAAUAUACUUCUCUAAGAAUGUACAGUUUUUUUGUUUUUUUUUUCUUAUCAGCAUAACAUUUUCAUGAUGUCUUGAACAUUAAAUUGUCUUGUCUUGGAAGAAUCAAUAUUUGCCCCAACAUACUGUUAAUCAUACCUGAAAUAGUUUUCAGUUAGAUAUUAUUUAUAGUAAGAAAAAAUUAUUUUAAGGAUUAAAGUGUGGGUAUCUCCCUUAUAAUUUGUAAAGCUAUGCUUUGCAAAUCUCUGAUUAGCAUGGUAUGUACAGAGUGUAUAAACCAGUAGAAUAGAGGAUAAUUGUCACAAGGAUGAGAGAGCAAGAGCAUCCAUGGUUGUUUAAUACCAGUUAUGAUAUUAUGAGUCACUGUUAACAUUACUAAUAAUGGAGUGAAGAUGGGGAGAAGGUAGAGGUGGAGACGGAAGAGAAAGUUUAGAAAGUGAAAGAUUGAAUGGAUUGAUGGAGAAAAGUACUGGAUGAUGUCAGUGAAGAGCAAGGAAUGAAGAUGAGGGGAGAUGAGUUGUUACAUGGUUGAUUAAAUGCAAAAACUAAAUAUUGUAAAACUGCCAAGUAAAAUUAAGCAGGUGAAAAAUCAUGACAAAUGGUCUGUAGUUGGGAUGGGAAGAAAGAGCAUAGAUGCAUAUAGCUUGAGAUGCAUAUGAAAUAAAUUAAGUGUGAUCAAUAAAGGGAUAGAAUGAAAACAAAAGCAUGUGCAAAAUGGAAAAGAAAUCAAAUUGCAAAAUAAUAUAAUUGCAAAAGCAGAGGGAAAGUGCAAAUGCUGAUAAUUCUAAAUGCAAUUAAUCACAAAUGCAGGGUGUUGCACAAAGUUGAGUUUACUCUGCAAAACACAUUUUAGUUUUGUUUUUUUAGUAGUAGUGUUGUGUGUCUUGGAUUAAACAAUCCUUUGGUCAUUCUGAGGUUGGCUUCUGUUUUUUUGGCUGCAUAGGGUGCUUAGUGUGCGUUUCUAUUUCAUCAUCAUGUUAUAUUGUGCCAUGUUUCCUUAUGCAUAUAUUCUAUGUAGUGUUUUAGUGGACAUUCUAUCUCUGAAUGUUGUGUUGUUUACUCAGAUUAGUGUUUUGUUCUGUACAGAUUGCAUUUUGAUUUUUGUGUAUGAUAUUGCAACAAGUGGGAUAGGUGUAUAUUCAAGAAUAGGUCUAACAGUUGUUUUGUAGAGUUUUGUUUGUGUUCAGUGUAAGAAAUUCUUUAAUUAUAUAUUUUGCCUGUGCUUUUCUGUUUUGUUAGUUAUAAUGCUUUUCUAUAGUGAUUUAGAAUAAUUUAGAAAUAAGUCUUACACUUUCUGAAGAUUUGUAUCUUCCUUCCUGUGUUGAUAAUUGGUUGUGAUGUUAGUCUUGAGCAAUCAUGACCUGAGCAUCCAACUUGGGAGUUGUGGCAUUAAAACUCAGCUGUUGAAUUUGCUCCAGAGAAUGAAUUUAGCUUCAGGAGUGUGCAAUAUCAAAAGUUUUCACUAAAUUUACCAUUGAUGUAUUGGUGAAUCUAUUGACUAGGGUUACAUAAGUGAAACAUACCAAAUAACAUCUAUAUUUCACCAUUAAUAUAAAUGCUUUUAUAAGUCUGUUACAUAAAAUCACUACCAUAAACAUUGUAUGUAAUUUAGAUAAUAGCUUAACAAUGGCUUAUAUUAUAAUAGUUUGUGGUUCCCCUUUGGCAUAGCAGAAAUCAGAGCACUUAACCAAGUUGAAAUACCCUUACACAAUAUCACUAUGUACAGUACACUACUCCCACCUCAAAAGUAGGAUGGAUAGAAUCUCUUGAUCAUACUCUCCUCGGCUAUCCUAAUGUCACAUUGCUCCGGGUGUCACCAAUCCUUUUUGGGUUCUCCAUCCGCUUGACCUUCUGUGACAUCAUUCUUGACACAUUACCACUUCCCCCUUAAUGUUGGGCCUUUUCUCUGAUUGUGAUUAAUACCAUGGAAUACCCAAGAAUGUCUUAUCUUUUACCAAGUUAUUCGUUAUGAUCUUUAAUCAUGGUUGAUUAUCGGCUUUCAAACAUUCCACUAAUGAUAUAUGUUUUUCAUAUCUCAUUUUUCAUAUCUGAGGUUACUCAGAAAAUGGGUAACCUCAGAUAACUAUUUUUUUUCUAAUAUUUAUUUUACACUAUUACAAAACCUUUUGUACAGUUUACAUGGGGUAAUCUAAACCAAGUGAUACUUAAUAUUAAUGACAUAAAUAUUCAUGAUUACAUUAUAAAGGGUGCUCAUUGCUUAUAUUUUUAAACCCUUGUAUAAGUAAGAGUGAUUAUUUAGGUUAGUGAUUUGUUGAUUAUUAUAUAUUGUAGGAUAUUCAAUUAUAUAUUUUUUUUUCAUAAUACCUUUUAGGUUUUGAAAACCACUUCAUUAUGAGAAUAUCCCCAUGCUUUUCUUUUUUUCUGCUAUACUCUGUUUGCUUUUAGCAAAUAGUUUUUUGUAUUGAAUUUGAUUUUCUUUGUUUGGUCUCUUCCUCCAAUCACUAAGUUUUAUUUUUGUCUUAUCAUUUCAUGAUGAGGUUUAUUAGGUUUAUUCUUUGAAUUAUUGUUUUUAAAUCUGAAACCUAUCCCUGUAGUUUUUAGCCUGUUUGUUAAUUCUUUUAUUGAUUUAAGGUUUUCUAUAGUUAAAUCCUUGAUUGUACCUUGCUAUAUAUUCCAACCCUCUGGUGUUAAAUUCCAUUCUAUUUCUUUCCUAUAUGAUUAUUUUUUAUACAAUUUUACCUUUUUAUGAUUAUAGUCAAAUGAUCACUUCCUGGAUGAUUCCCUGGUGUUUUUUCUAAGUGACAAAGAAUUGGAGAACCUACAAUUAGAUCUAAGGUUGACUCUUUGCUUGUAUGAGAUCAUUUUUUUUGUCAUGGAGGAGUUGGGAGCAUUAGUGUUUUUAGUAUAAGAAUUAAAAUAGAUUAUGUCCUGAUGUAUUGAUUAUUUUUUUAUUCAUAUUCUUAGUCUAGA
rnacentral:lncRNA from 1 species